GAUGAACGCUGGCGGCGUGCCUAAUACAUGCCAGUCGAGCGAACGGACGAGAAGCUUGCUUCUCUGAUGUUAGCGGCGGACGGGUGAGUAACACGUGGAUAACCUACCUAUAAGACUGGGAUAAAUUCGGGAAACCGGAGCUAAUACCGGAUAAUAUUUUGAACCGCAUGGUUCAAAAGUGAAAGACGGUCUUGCUGUCACUUAUAGAUGGAUCCGCGCUGCAUUAGCUAGUUGGUAAGGUAACGGCUUACCAAGGCAACGAUGCAUAGCCGACCUGAGAGGGUGAUCGGCCACACUGGAACUGAGACACGGUCCAGACUCCUACGGGAGGCAGCAGUAGGGAAUCUUCCGCAAUGGGCGAAAGCCUGACGGAGCAACGCCGCGUGAGUGAUGAAGGUCUUCGGAUCGUAAAACUCUGUUAUUAGGGAAGAACAUAUGUGUAAGUAACUGUGCACAUCUUGACGGUACCUAAUCAGAAAGCCACGGCUAACUACGUG
rnacentral:rRNA from 1 species